rnacentral:rRNA from 1 species
AGAGAAGCUUGCUUCUCUUGAGAGCGGCGGACGGGUGAGUAAUACCUAGGAAUCUGCCUGAUAGUGGGGGAUAACGUUCGGAAACGGACGCUAAUACCGCAUACGUCCUACGGGAGAAAGCAGGGGACCUUCGGGCCUUGCGCUAUCAGAUGAGCCUAGGUCGGAUUAGCUAGUUGGUGAGGUAAUGGCUCACCAAGGCUACGAUCCGUAACUGGUCUGAGAGGAUGAUCAGUCACACUGGAACUGAGACACGGUCCAGACUCCUACGGGAGGCAGCAGUGGGGAAUAUUGGACAAUGGGCGAAAGCCUGAUCCAGCCAUGCCGCGUGUGUGAAGAAGGUCUUCGGAUUGUAAAGCACUUUAAGUUGGGAGGAAGGGCAUUAACCUAAUACGUUAGUGUUUUGACGUUACCGACAGAAUAAGCACC